rnacentral:lncRNA from 1 species
ACAAACAAACUGAACAGACACGCCGCGCUGUAAAGUGCAGGAAUACAGUGACAAGAGACGCACCUUGUCCCGUUAACCAGAUGCUGAAACACAGAGAUCAUUUGAAGACAAUAACCUCAACAUCAACAGCACUUUAACAUAAACAUGAAAGGGAUUCGAACCCCGGUCUCCAAGAUGAAAGUAUCCUAAAAGCAGAAAAGAUCUCCAAACUCGCCUUUUCAUGAUUGAGUGUCCCGUUAACCAGACGCUGAAACACAGAGAUCAUUUGAAGACAAUAACCUCAACAUCAACAGCACCAGUUUAACAUAAACAUUAAAGGGAUUCGAACCCUGGUCUCCAAGAUGAAAG